rnacentral:lncRNA from 1 species
GAGCCUUAGAUUCGUGGUUUGUAUGAUUCGAUUAGCGUAUGUAAUAACUUUAUAAAAUAGUAUGUAGUAUGAAGUCUAAUCUGGCCCAAAUUUCAUUAGAAUCAGAGUUAUAAUGAGCAAGUUAUGAAAAUCGUAAGCAAGCAUGUUCAUAGCAAAAUCUGCAGAAAAUCUGGAAUUUCCAGAUUUUUUCUAAGGAUAGAACCAGUGUUGGCACAUUUUUCUAUGUAGUUGGUUUGUGGUCUUAGCAUGCUAGUUUCAUGAAUGUUAUAUUUUUGUAAAAUACCUCUAUGUAUGAAGUUUAUUGUGUCCAAGUAUCAUGGUCAUAUCAUCUGUAGAUUAGUGGGAAUAAAAUCGUAAGAGUGGCUGCAAGAAACAAAAAUUUGAUGUCUUUCUUUGUACUAUUUGGAUCAGUAUGUUUUUUGGGGCAUUUGUACUUUAAAAAUUCUGGAAACAUUUGGAGUAUUACUAUAAGAAGAUAUGAAGGUCCUGUAAAAAUUUGAGAAUUUUUGGCCAUACGGUUUUAGAGUUAUGGAUUUUACGGCUAAGGUCAUUAUUUAAAAAGAUACCCAAAUAACUCUCUGUGUAUAAGUCCAAAAUUUACAAAAUUUUUACUGGAGGUUCAUGUGUAUACCAGGAGUUAACUUUGAAAAUUUCAGAAUUUUUGGAGCUAAUCUUGAUUUAUGAAAAAUCUGAGAAUAUUUGGCUAUU